GGAGACAUAGAUUAAAGGAAAAUCAUUUGGCUACGAACCAAAAGAGUGAAGGUUCGAAUCCUUCUGUCUUCU
rnacentral:tRNA from 1 species